AUGGGAGAGAGAGAUUUAAGUUAUUCAGUGAGGAGGAGAGUGAAAAGUGAGUGAUGAAAAAGAGGGAGGGAAAAGAAGAGAGAGAGUGAAAGAGAAAGCCAGAAAGGGAUGUGUGAGGAAAUUGACGGAGAAGCUGCCUUGUAUAAUGUAUGAGGAUGAUGCGUUACUAGUUUGUGUUGAGUAGCUAUCCGCGGUACUAAUGCAUCAAAUUGAUAGAUACUACUGCUAAUAUAAUUUCUGCCCUUUUUUAAAAGGUACCCCUAAUGUCGCGGUAACGUGCCCUCGAUUUUUAGUACCCUAAAGGUGCCAACCUGCCCUACAUCCUCUGCUCUGCUCUUCCCACUCUAGUCUUUUGGAUUUGGGUCGCUUAUUCAGGCCAACAUAAACAGCUGAUACCCUUUUAUCAUUACCAAGCUCCCAUGCUUCCUAACCGGGUAUAACUCUAGAUUCAUUUCCAUCACUUUACACUUUCAAAUUUUUUUCCCUGUAUUUAUUUUAAGAAGCUUUGUAUUAGAUUUUCUAUUUUUCUAGUUCCAAUCCAACUUAAUUAAGUGCUAUCUUUAUUUUACAAGUAUACAAAUUUAAUACAUAAUUUUUUCUAUAAUGUGAUAUUUUCUAAUAAAUUUAUUUACUAUAAAAUGUAAUAUAAUAUAAUUCUUAUCUCUUUAUUAUUUAUUUAUACGAAAUAUUAUAAAAUAUAUAUACAUAUAUUUCUAACCUAUUGAACUGUUUUAGUGUGCUGUAACUGUUAUAGGCUUAUUACUUAAAACUUUUAUAUUAUGAUUAAUCAAUCUAAUCAAUCAAAUAAAUCAUUAAGAGGAUACCUUUUUUUUUUUAUAAUUUUAUCAACCAGAGACAAACAGAUUCAAACCAAGUAACAAAACUAAUUAAAGGUUUGGCUUAAGCCCUUCAAUGUAGCCAACACUAGUUCCUCACUAUUAUAAAAGAAAGUACAUAUGAACUCCAGUAGUACAGGGAGACAAUUAAAAUUUUUUAGUUAAUACAUCAUGUGGUUCUUAGUACACUCAAGUAAAAAGGAAAGGUAAUGUCUGCAAAAAAUGUAUACAGGUUUUUUCUAUAUGUUCUUCAUUCACUUAUUGUAUAGUAUUAGGACCCCAAUUAUUCGGUUUCCUCGUCCAUCAAAACCAGAUAGGAGAAAUGUGGGGUGGUAUGUGGCCAUGAAAAAAUCUACAGAAGCUAAAUGUAGGUAUACUGCUCAAACUAUUAAGUCAAAUCCAGGACUGGAUGGAAUAGUUGCAUUUGAAGGAGUUUACCCCACUGAUAUGAGCAAAAAUAUCUGAGGAAUCAACCAUAUCAUCUUCAUCCUUCACAACUACCUGCAGGUUUAAAAAACUAAAUCAACAAAUAAUUGAGAAGGUACAGAUGAAAAAGAUUUUCUUGAUUUUAACACGGGCAGGUUGAAUGAAAAGAGCCCUGUUUAGUGUUUAAUAAAUCAAUAAACCUUGGAAAUCUUACUUCUUCUUCGUCAUCAUCUUCAUGAUUGCUACUAGUAGUUCUAUUGGUUUCUCCAAAGUCAUCAUUCUUUGCAAACCUUCCUCGAACCCGAGGUCGGCUGUCUGCCAGAGUUUUGCGGCAGGCAUACUGCACAUUUGGUUGCAUCGUUAGUUGAACUUGGAAAUAUGCAAUAUGAAGUGGUUUAUAAGCAAGGAGUACCUUGCAUAUGUAUAUGCAAAUGUAACAUCAUGAGAUUUUAAUUUUGUUUGAUGAUGAGGCUGUUUUGAAUACGGGAAGGAACUUGAGUGUACCUUAAUUUUCUUGCUGAAGUUUCUUUCAUUUCUUUUCUUCAUGUAUCUAUUGAUCUUUUCUUUCCUUUGCUCAACAGAAAGUUUUCCAACUUUGAAUGAGGAGUCCUCUAAGUUAGAAAUUUCAGGUGUUAGAGUGGCAGAACUACCACCCCCGGGAACUAGUUGCUGACUCUCAGUACCAAGUGCCUAGGAAAUCAAUUACAAACAAAAUCAGUUACUUUCUUGCUCAGCGCAAAGGGAAAUUAGUCAUCGCAAACUAUCAUUAACUUGGUUAGAGGUUCCGGAAAACGAUAUGCUAAAAGAGCCACUCAUGAAGUGGGUCUUUACUAAUGGUGGUGCUGCUUGUUAUCAAUUUUUGUGGAAAGUUGCCAUUCCAUUCUGACUCGUGCUACUAACUAGCACAGAAUUUAUGCUACUUUGUACAGGUGAGAAUGAGAUUAUAAAGGGGUUGAUAUGCUAGCUACUGUUUUGAUGGAUAUGGG
rnacentral:lncRNA from 1 species